rnacentral:rRNA from 1 species
UACGGAGGGUGCAAGCGUUAUCCGGAUUCACUGGGUUUAAAGGGAGCGCAGGCGGAUUGGUAAGUCAGUGGUGAAAGGCUUAAGCUUAACUUGGGAACUGCCAUUGAUACUAUCAGUCUUGAAUGUUGUUGAGGUUUGCGGAAUGGGUCAUGUAGCGGUGAAAUGCAUAGAUAUGACCCGGAACACCUAUUGCGAAGGCAGCAGGCUAAACAAAUAUUGACGCUGAGGCUCGAAAGCGUGGGGAGCAAACAGG